rnacentral:rRNA from 2 species
AAAGAUUAAGCCAUGCAUGUCUAAGUAUAAACAAUUUUGUACUGUGAAACUGCGAAUGGCUCAUUAUAUCAGUUAUAGUCUACUCGAUAGUACCUUACUACUUGGAUAACCGUAGUAAUUCUAGAGCUAAUACAUGCAUGAAUACCCAACUGCUUGUCGGGCGGGUAGCAUUUAUUAGAUUGAAACCAAUGCAGUCUUCGGGCUGGUAUUGUGUUGAGUCAUAAUAACUGUGCGGAUCGCACUUUGUGCGAUAAAUCGAUUGAGUUUCUGCCCUAUCAGCUUUGGAUGGUAGGAUAUGGGCCUACCAUGGCAU